rnacentral:lncRNA from 1 species
ACAUAAAUAAAAAAAAUAAUAAAAUUUAUGCCUCAUAAUCAAGCUACUUUCAUAAAACAUAUUUAUGAAAUUAAUGCUCAUAAUAAAAUAUAUUUUUUCAUAUCACAUAUGCUGAUCCUUAUUUUAUGAAAAAUAUGAUUUCAUCAACAGCAAUUCUUUGCAUGAAAAAUAUGAUUAUUUAAAAAUAAAUAAGAAGCAUAAGAUCCACUUACUUCGUUCAUCUUAGAUCUUCAGACUUCAUUAGAAG